rnacentral:lncRNA from 1 species
CAAGGCCUCGUAAAGGUACCAAACGCGCCCUUAACAAUCUGCAAAUUCGAAUACGAUCUGCACCAGCUUUCAAAAGCUGGAAAACAACUCGGGGCGCAAUUUGGAUCAGUUUCAAAAGACAUGAACAGCAACCUGAACUGUUUCUCCUUGAUGCUUCUCGACAGCAGUGGCUUUUUUCAGACUGUUCUUCAAACUACUCCACCAAACAGCCCAAACCACAUGAGGGCGACUUUCAUUCAUAGAAUGCGCGAUCAGGGAACCCCUUCCCGUGGCCAACUUUGUGCGCGGAUGGUCAUUGUCGCGGAAAUUACUGGAUCAUGGUGGAGGAUGCUGCACUUGGUUCUUCGCGGCGGCGCCGUUGUUUUCUGCACACCUAGUGUUGAUGAGUCUUUGGGAUGCCAUUUUCAUGCAACUACCGCACCAAACUCCCGGCUUAUAUAG